UCCGAGAUAGCGGCGCGCGGGCAGGAGCUGCGGCUGCCGCCGUCGCCGCAAUAGCAAUAGCGAAAGCAGCAGCAGCAACAGCGCGCGCCGGCGAAGUCCGCGCGCGGGACCCUUCGGAACGUCGGCAGGCGUCGCGCGCCUCAGUUCCAGAGAAAGCGUGCCUGAAACAAGCCGCAGUGAGGCCGCCAGCGACUUUUCCAGAGUGACCACUUCACUGGCCACUGAGGCAGUCGAGCCAGCCCUUGACAAGACCACCAAUCCCUGUGCUGAUGUGGCUGAAGGUAGGUUACCUUUUGGUAUCUUGCGUGGGAGAGGGCACAACUGGAAGCUGAAGUUACUAUUGCCAGUGAAGAAUUCCGGCAUGCCGGGUGCCUUGGCAGUCAAGGAGGACUUCCAGAUGUGUUGGAUAUGGAUCUCGUUUGAACAGCUCAUUGCAGGAAGGACAGUUUAGUUCUGGACUCUGCCGCAGAUAUCCCUGUAUAUGUCAAGUGACUUGGAAAAAGGCAUGGUUGUGUUGAAGGCGGCAGUGGAUUUUGAAUGGAUUUAUUUAGUUCAUGUACCUAUUUUGAUAUAUCAGCCACUUUCUGGUGGAUGGUGUUUUCUAAAUGUGGCUGGGUUUUCUUACCUUCUGAAGUACCUUGAUUUAUUCUGCUGCUUUUGAGUCAAGGGCUUGACCAAUAGAUGCUUCAGGCUACCACAGAGGGAACAGUUAACUUCCUAAAUUUCCUGAGCACUCAGGCUGUGAACAGCUCUUGGUUUCUCUGUUUCUAAAAAGGGCAGAUGGUAUUUUCUUCAUGUGAUGGUUUCUCUUUUGAGGUUAUUGGCAUUGCUGAUCUGUCUACUUUUUCAGUGUUUUUUGCUUGUACUGGGAAAUGCUGAGUAAGUCUCAUGGGGAAUGACUUGGGAAAAUUUCAGUUCCCUUAAUCUUGUUGAUUCCCUUGUCUACUGCAUUUUAAAAACAGUAAAGAAUAUCUGAGUCAGCCAGGGCCUUGUUCAGUAACCUCUGACUCAAAGUCACAUCUUUGGUGGGGCUUCUGAGUGGCAGCAUGGAACCCUCAGCAGUCUUUUUAGAGUCCACCGAUCACCUUGUGAUACUUACUUUGCAUGCUCUUGGGGUUCUUCCUUUUUGAGACCCUCUCAAAAGAAGCACAUAGCCAG
rnacentral:lncRNA from 1 species